rnacentral:lncRNA from 8 species
AUGCAUACAUUUCAUUUCAUGCAUUUAAAAAAAAAAAAUUGUACUGGCCCCCCGUGGGAAUCGAACCCACAACCCUGGCGUUGCACACACACCAUGCUGGCGUUGCAAACACCAUGCUCUACCAAUCUACCUCUGUCUCUGCUUUUCCUUCCCUCCAUCACCUCUGUCUCUGCUUUUCCUUCCCUCCGUCACCUCUGUCUCUGCUUUUCCUUCCCUCCGUCACCUCUGUCUCUGCUUUUCCUUCCCUCCGUCACCUCUGUCUCUGCUUUUCCUUCCCUCCAUCACCUCUGUCUCUGCUUUUCCUUCCCUCCGUCACCUCUGUCUCUGCUUUUCCUUCCCUCCGUCACCUCUGUCUCUGCUUUUCCUUCCCUCCAUCACCUCUGUCUCUGCUUUUCCUUCCCUCCAUCACCUCUGUCUCUGCUUUUCCUUCCCUCCGUCACCUCUGUCUCUGCUUUUCCUUCCCUCCGUCACCUCUGUCUCUGCUUUUCCUUCCCUCCGUCACCUCUGUCUCUGCUUUUCCUUCCCUCCGUCACCUCUGUCUCUGCUUUUCCUUCCCUCCGUCACCUCUGUCUCUGCUUUUCCUUCCCUCCGUCACCUCUGUCUCUGCUUUUCCUUCCCUCCGUCACCUCUGUCUCUGCUUUUCCUUCCCUCCGUCACCUCUGUCUCUGCUUUUCCUUCCCUCCGUCACCUCUGUCUCUGCUUUUCCUUCCCUCCGUCACCUCUGUCUCUGCUUUUCCUUCCCUCCGUCACCUCUGUCUCUGCUUUUCCUUCCCUCAUCACCUCUGUCUCUGCUUUUCCUUCCCUCAUCACCUCUGUCUCUGCUUUUCCUUCCCUCCGUCACCUCUGUCUCUGCUUUUCCUUCCCUCCAUCACCUCUGUCUCUGCUUUUCCUUCCCUCCGUCACCUCUGUCUCUGCUUUUCCUUCCCUCCGUCACCUCUGUCUCUGCUUUUCCUUCCCUCCGUCACCUCUGUCUCUGCUUUUCCUUCCCUCCGUCACCUCUGUCUCUGCUUUUCCUUCCCUCCGUCACCUCUGUCUCUGCUUUUCCUUCCCUCCGUCACCUCUGUCUCUGCUUUUCCUUCCCUCCGUCACCUCUGUCUCUGCUUUUCCUUCCCUCCGUCACCUCUGUCUCUGCUUUUCCUUCCCUCCGUCACCUCUGUCUCUGCUUUUCCUUCCCUCCGUCACCUCUGUCUCUGCUUUUCCUUCCCUCCGUCACCUCUGUCUCUGCUUUUCCUUCCCUCCGUCACCUCUGUCUCUGCUUUUCGUGGUCUCAGGUGA